AGAGUUUGAUCCUGGCUCAGGAUGAACGCUAGCGGCAGGCCUAAUACAUGCAAGUCGAGGGGCAGCGCGGUAGCAAUACUGGCGGCGACCGGCAAACGGGUGCGGAACACGUACGCAACCUUCCUCUAAGCGGGAGAUAGCCCGGAGAAAUCCGGAUUAAUACCCCAUAGGAUUGUGGAUUGGCAUCAAUCAGCAAUUAAAGAUUUAUCACUUAGAGAUGGGCGUGCGUCUGAUUAGGUAGUUGGUGAGGUAACGGCUCACCAAGCCGACGAUCAGUAACUGGCGUGAGAGCGCGACCAGUCACACGGGCACUGAGACACGGGCCCGACUCCUACGGGAGGCAGCAGUAAGGAAUAUUGGUCAAUGGACGGAAGUCUGAACCAGCCAUGCCGCGUGGAGGAUGAAGGUCCUCUGGAUUGUAAACUUCUUUUAUCUGGGAAGAAAUGCUUUUUUUCUAAAGAGCUUGACGGUACCAGAUGAAU
rnacentral:rRNA from 1 species